UAUCUUAUGUUGAGCGUAAAGGAGACAGAUAAGUUAGUUUUUUAACGUUGUGCUUGUUUAAUACAAUAUAAAGAACCGAAGAACAUGUCAUACAUUGUACAUAUGUAUAUAAAUAUGCGAUGUAUCACAUUCAACAAAACUUUAUCUCUAUGAGCACGCAUGGAAGAGUUCCAUAACCUUGAGAACGCUUUCUCAUUCAUAUUGCAAAUAACUGAAACAAGCAGAAAAUGCGAAUGAAGAAGCAUAGAAUGACGAUGUUGGUCAAGCAUAAGCAACAAGAGUACAGAGAGAUAGUUUGAAGAUAUAUGUACAUCUUAACUCCAAGCAAAAUGUAUAUUUUAUUACGGCGAAUCUUUUUCUAAUCAAAAUGAAUGUGUAAGCUAAAUACCGCUAGGAACCCAUAGUAAUCUGCUUUGACCAGCCAACGAAUUAAAAAAACUCAGCAUACUCCAAACAUCAACUCUAGAUCAUAUGGGAAACAUUUUUCCAAUUGAGAUCUAGAUUCUAGAAGUACUCACCUUUUUAAAUUCAUCGAAAUGGACAAAUAAAAAUGCGAUAGUUAACAUCGGAAAAGACUAUUAUAACUGAAACAACUUGAAUUUAAUUCAGAAUAGGCUCUUCACACUGAGUCCCUCCAAGGGGAACUUUGGAUUUUUUUGAAAGAUGUGAAACGACUUGACGAAUGUGUCCAAGGAUUCGAACAGAUUGGAUUUCCACAGUGUCUAGGUGCAAUUGAUGGAUGUCAAAUCGAAAAAAAACCACCAGGAGCUGAGGCAGUCUACCAUCACAAUUAUAAAGGCUGGUACUCCACCGUAUUGUUUGCAAAUUUUCGACUUUCACUCGAACAUCUCCCCAUCCAAUCGCGAGCCCAGCCUCCUUCAUGGCUCCACGCAGAUCUUCAAUAUUCUCCUGCCAGAGAUCUAUCAGCAGGCUCUCCAUCUCCGAUGACUAUUUCCCCCUGCCACCUGUUGUUCUCUUCUUUUCUGCAAUAUUGAUAAAUUUAAUGUUAUUUUGAAACAACAAAAAAUGUAAUAUAUGCUUACAACCGCCACCAAAUGUUGG